CCAGCAAUGACAAGCGCUAGCUAAGAAUUUGCUCGGAAGCUUCAAACAAGUCAUGGAAGAAGAAGGUGGAUGCUUUUGACGGUUGCAUUAGGGCUGUAGAAUGCACAAUUGCGUAGGACCCGCUCCUGAUGUCGAAGGCUUAGAUGCAAAGAAUUUGGUCCACAUCUUCGCAGAAGUCAUUAGCAUUUGGCCCAAUAGUUAGAAAUUUCCAUCCCAUGAAAGAAUAGUACAACCAACCAAACUUUAAUGUUAUAAUUAAGAACCAACAACCAACCAAACUGAAGUUGUGGUACCAUGUUAGCCAAAUGGAUGCUUAUUUUUUUUCUUUUUUAAUAUUUAAUUUCUCUAUUUCCCUA
rnacentral:lncRNA from 1 species